UCUGCUGCAUUUCAUCAUCAGAUUGCUGUAAAAUUUUCUUCAUCGCCAACUUAGAAGCCAUGAAAACUCCUUGAUGAAUUACUUCGUUGAUUAAUUACUAGGGAUCAUGCAUAACUAUCGUAUUAUAUUUACUAGUUAAAGAUUUCGCUACUGAAAAAAAAAUUACAGUAAAUAUACUGUAAUAAUUAAUAAAUAAUAACAAAAAAUUAUUUAAAAAAUAAAAAUUAUUUAUAUAUUAGAGAUUUAUUCAAAAUUAAGCCAUAACAAAUAGAAUAACUUCUUUUUCUCUUAACUCGACUCGCACAUCUCGGUUUACGCUACUAUCUCCUAUUUCACCGGCUCGAACUACUCCUUUUUUCUUCCCUGCGCCCCUCCUUACUUAAUAAGUCGUUUACUGAUUUCAUGGUACACAAA
rnacentral:lncRNA from 1 species